CUGUAACAACAAAAAUGGAGACGACACAACUUGGAAGAGAAAUCAACUCGAAAUAGCCAAGAGAAUGUUCGAAAACCCCCUCAAAUCCGAUGCUUCCUUUGAUUCCAACCUCCAAAAGCCCAUCUGCUCAAAUCUUCAUUUCGAGGACGAGGACUCGAGGAGUAUUACAAGUGGUCAAUUUUGUGAUGGGAUUUGAUUGAAAUUGGAGAAUGGUUUCAUGAAAUCUCCUCUUCGGGCUGAGGUUGAUUCAUGACUCUUUCAUUUUUCUAGUGUCUCAUUGAUGAUAGACAUAAGAAGCACCAUUGCUGAAUCAUAUUGUUUGGCACAGUUCUAGUUGACCAUCCACAAGUGGAAUAGUUGGGAUGAUAAAGAAGCUUGGAAACUAAAGAUUCUCACUUUCACUAGUGAAUAAUACAUUCAUUUUUAAAAACGUUUUUUGUUCUGUUGUUUUAUUUCUUUCUAUAAUAUUUUACAAGUUACCGAAGCUGAAGAAGAAUGUUGUAACAAGUGA
rnacentral:misc_RNA from 1 species